GUCCCGGUAGCUCCAACGGUAGAGCGCCCGACUACAGCCGGUAUGUGCUGGUUCGAUUCCAGCCCGGGACA
rnacentral:tRNA from 1 species